rnacentral:rRNA from 1 species
GGGUUGUGAGGUUAAGCGACUAAGCGUACACGGUGGAUGCCCUGGCAGUCAGAGGCGAUGAAGGACGUGCUAAUCUGCGAUAAGCGCCGGUAAGGUGAUAUGAACCGUUAUAACCGGCGAUUUCCGAAUGGGGAAACCCAGUGUGAUUCGUCACACUAUCAUUAACUGAAUCCAUAGGUUAAUGAGGCGAACCGGGGGAACUGAAACAUCUAAGUACCCCGAGGAAAAGAAAUCAACCGAGAUUCCCCCAGUAGCGGCGAGCGAACGGGGAGGAGCCCAGAGCCUGAAUCAGCAUGUGUGUUAGUGGAAGCGUCUGGAAAGGCGCGCGAUACAGGGUGACAGCCCCGUACACAAAAGCGCAUGUGCUGUGAGCUCGAUGAGUAGGGCGGGACACGUGGUAUCCUGUCUGAAUAUGGGGGGACCAUCCUCCAAGGCUAAAUACUCCUGACUGACCGAUAGUGAACCAGUACCGUGAGGGAAAGGCGAAAAGAACCCCGGCGAGGGGAGUGAAAAAGAACCUGAAACCGUGUACGUACAAGCAGUGGGAGCACCCUUCGGGGUGUGACUGCGUACC